CUCAGUAGAACGAUUGGGAUUUGGAUUUGCAGUGGCAGACGUAGUGCCGAACGUAGCCAUUCAGUUUGCUAGUUUAAAAAAUAUAUCAACUAUAAAUUUGAAAAUUUAAAACUAAAAAUUGACAGUAUAAUAAUUAAAAAUAUGAAAGUAGAACAAAUAGUACCAGAUUAGACGGUUUUAUAGCUGUUCUUGCCUCAAAAUCUCACAAAUAUCCAGAGGUACACCAACAAAAACUUGAAGUAGUUUUAUUGAGUGUGUGUCUAUUUAUGUAGCUUUUGUAAAAAGCUAAGCGGCAAGGGUUUUGACGGGUCGGUACUGGUACUCGGGUCGGAUUAUU
rnacentral:lncRNA from 1 species